CCGAUUUUUCUCCAUGCAGUUACCACUUUCCAUACUACUCCUCUCCUAACGUAGAUUUCUUUCUUUCUGUUAGACUAUAAUCCCCACCUCGUUCCUCUGCACGCCUCCGCAGCCUCCCUCCCUCCCCCCACGUCCCACCUCGCCGGCGUACCUUGGACGGCGCGCUGGGGAUUGCCCCUGUUGCCCAGGGUCAAGUUUCCCCGGCAUCUGAGCCGCGCUUGGAUGGAGGAGUGAGGGACGCCGACCGCCGGUCAUCCUUCUCAAUUCCACCAUGGCGGAUCCGGUGGGAUUCCAAGUGACCUCUACGGCCGGCCUCUGUCGAGGUGUUGAGCGGCCAACUGGUGAUCCGAUCUGACUGACUGACGGGAGAUGAGGCAAACUGGUGAGUCGAUCUGACUGACUGACGGCAGGUCCGGUCCGUCGCCGCCCGGCGACGGUGACUGUUCACCGCAGAUUCCAGGCCGGCAAUAUAAUUCUUGCAGAUCUACCAGAGGAGCAUCCGCUAUUGCUUUGACCACGACGGAUCUGAAGGUACCGGUGGGUACUCAGAUCUGCAAGGAUAUACAGCCGCGCAGGUCUCCACUGCCAGAGUCAUGGCAAGUCGCAGAACCAUGCUUACCGGUGAUGGGAUUCAUCGCGGUAAUUUUGCGCUAACGCCGUGGAUGCGGUGGCACGGUGGGUCGAUAUAGUCCUCGGACCGAGAAGGUUGUAUCUAGCUUUCUCGUCUACUCAUCCCAGCAGAGCUCACUAGCCCGCGACACAGCUACUGUUUGAUCUCCCGUGGCAGAGGCCUAGAUCUGUUCGAUUUGCUGAGGUCUGCGGUGCACUUGGCUGAAGAUAAGUGAUGCAGCUUUGGAUAUUCAGCCAUGGCUGAUGACAAGUGAUGCAGCUCGGACACUCAGAUCAGAUGCGUGACACAGGAUGUCGACUCGGCUCGCAAGAUAUUGGUUUGGAGCAGGCCAGUUAGGUGCAACGGUUGCCCAGUCUUGGAGAUCAAUAUUUCACUUGAACGUUGGUAAAAUAGCACAAGUGAGAUAUGUGGUUUUGAGGAUUGUUUGACAAGAUGAUGGUUUAUUUUUAUUUUUGUUCCUCAGAUGCAGUAAGAUGAAUGGCAGAUGGCAAAAUGCAGAGUCAUAAUUUGUAGCAAUUAAAUACUGAAUGACAGAUGGCAGAAAUUAUGAAUUGGUUGCAGAGGCAGUAAGGUGAAUGGCAGAUGGCAGACAUUCAGGGGCAAUUCAACAGUGCACAGCAAGCCUAAUACAAUUUACUUCAGAGAGGAAAUAACUUCCAAGAUCUUACGGAUGAGGGCAACGGCUACAGCAUGUAAAGGGGUACAGACUGUUUUGAUAAAUAAAAUAUAUAUUACCACCUCCCAGAGGAAAUAUUGCUCUGCUGCAUGCUUGUAAAGUGUAAUUGGCAACUCGAGUUCUAUUCAAUGCAAGUUUUGUCUACA